rnacentral:rRNA from 1 species
GCUAGAGCAAGUAAAGUGGCGCACGGGUGAGUAACGCGUGGGCAAUCUACCUCCGAAUCAGGGAUAACAUUGCGAAAGCGAUGCUAAUACCGGAUGACAUCCUGAAGGCUUCGGUUUUAAGGAUCAAAGGUGGCCUCUACAUGUAAGCUACUGUUUGGAGAUGAGCCCGCGUACCAUUAGCUUGUUGGUAGGGUAACGGCCUACCAAGGCGACGAUGGUUAGCUGGUCUGAGAGGAUGAUCAGCCACACUGGAACUGACACACGGUCCAGACUCCUACGGGAGGCAGCAGUGAGGAAUUUUGCGCAAUGGGGGAAACCCUGACGCAGCAACGCCGCGUGAGUGAUGAAGGCUUUCGGGUCGUAAAGCUCUGUCAAGUGGGAAGAAACCACGAGGUGAUAAUAUCGCUUUGUGCUGACGGUACCACUGAAGGAAGCACCGGCUAACUCCGUGCCAGCAGCCGCGGUAAUACGGGGGGUGCAAGCGUUAUUUGGAAUCAUUGGGCGUAAAGGGCGCGUAGGCGGUUUGUUAAGUCAGAUGUGAAAGCCCGGGGCUCAACCCCGGAAGUGCAUUUGAUACUGGCGGACUUGAGUAUGGGAGAGGGAAGUGGAAUUCCUGGUGUAGAGGUGAAAUUCGUAGAUAUCAGGAGGAACACCGGUGGCGAAGGCGACUUCCUGGACCAAUACUGACGCUGAGGCGCGAAGGCGUGGGUAGCAAACAGGAUUAGAUACCCUGGUAGUCCACGCAGUAAACGGUGAUCACUAGGUGUAGCGGGUAUUGACCCCUGCUGUGCCGCAGUUAACGCAUUAAGUGAUCCGCCUGGGGAGUACGGCCGCAAAGUUAAAACUCAAAGGAAUUGACGGGGGCCCGCACAAGCGGUGGAGCAUGUGGUUUAAUUCGACGCAACGCGAAGAACCUUACCUGGGUUUGACAUCUCGGGGAUUUUUUGGAAACAAGAAAGUGCCCUUCGGGGAGCCCGAAGGCAGGUGCUGCAUGGCUGUCGUCAGCUCGUGUCGUGAGAUGUUGGGUUAAGUCCCGCAACGAGCGCAACCCUUAUCUUUAGUUACCAUCACUUCGGGUGGGGACUCUAAAGAUACUGCCCCGGUCAACGGGGAGGAAGGUGGGGAUGACGUCAAGUCCUCAUGGCCUUUAUGCCCAGGGCUACACACGUGCUACAAUGGGCGAUACAAAGGGUAGCGAGCCUGCGAAGGUGAGCCAAUCCC